rnacentral:rRNA from 1 species
UACGAAGGGGGCUAGCGUUGCUCGGAAUUACUGGGCGUAAAGGGCGCGUAGGCGGACAGUUUAGUCAGAGGUGAAAGCCCAGGGCUCAACCUUGGAAUUGCCUUUGAUACUGGCUGUCUUGAGUUCGGGAGAGGUGAGUGGAAUGCCGAGUGUAGAGGUGAAAUUCGUAGAUAUUCGGAAGAACACCAGUGGCGAAGGCGGCACACUGGCCCAUUACUGACGCUGAAGCUCGAAAGCUAGGGGAGCAAACAGG